UCCCCUGGGGUGUUCUGGAAGAAAUCUACAUGUCUGUCCUAGCCCUGGGGAGCAGACAGGGCAGUGUUUGCACUAGAAUGAGGCAGAGCUUCCUUGCACUCAUUUCCUGGAAGGCAAGUGUGGAAACAAGGAGCGACUGAGUCACAGACUCCGAGCUGCUUCUAGAUUCCUCUCCAGAUAGAGCUCUUGGCCCUGCAACGCACCUGCCCUUCAGCCAGUCAUUUGGCACCUGUCACGUGUGUGGCCUUUGUCCAGGGGUCAGGUGCCCUGUCCCAAGGACAGCACACACGCAGCUCGAAGGCUGCAUCCACCCAGCAGAGAAACAUCUGGGGACCACGUCCCAGCGUCUUGUUCUCCUCACCUCACAAAGCCCCAAACUUCCCCUCACAAACUCUCCCCACAAACCCCAUCACUACCCCGUUCCCAUGCCAACUCCCUUGACUCUUUCAGAGAGUUCUCCAGUCCCAGCCUCCCCACUCCCCACUCCCCAAGCCUGGGGCUAGCCAAAGGCCAAACGAAAAAAAAAGGGAAACCAAAGCAAACAAAAGAAUUCCCCUGACCCCCCAAUAAACACACACACAAAGAGCAGGCUUGUGGGAAGAGGAAGCUCCCACCAGCGUCGACCCCGCGGGGGGGCCAGGGCUCCCCUCAUUGUUCUCCCUCCCCAGGCUGUGAUGACAAUCCCAGCCCCGCACAGGUUGCAGCCCCCCUGCCCGGCAGCCAGCACCCCUCCUCUUUUCCCACCUUGGGCCCCCUGAGAAAGACGCCUUGAAGCAGAUGUCAUGGGCCCAAGAGUGGUUCCCACAGGAGGAGGAAUUGGAGUGGAAGUUUUCGAGAGACAGAGCCUCACCCUGCUCACGCCUUCGGGGGCUACGGCAGGACACAGGGAAGAUGGUGGCCUGCCCUCACAGAGCCCACAGGAAGCCCCUGAUUUAUAGUGACAGGACCAUCAGGAUUCGAGGGCUGGCCCCCAAACUGGCAGAAUCCCAGAUGGGAAGUAAGAAGGUGGAGACAGGGUAACCUGGGCCCUUCUCAGAACCCAAGGUGGGCUGAGGGUCCUCCAACCUCACAGAGCUUCACUUCUCCAGGGAUCUGCCAAACAGCAGCUCAGAGGCCAGGAAUGGCCCUGCUUCUCCCCCUCUCUCUGCCCAUGUAUGUCACCCCUCAUGAAUUCACUCAGGCAUUUACUCAUCGCUUACUGAUCCCCUACCUGGAUAAGCAACAAGGCCCUAGCACAUGGCAGAGAACAAGCCCCACACCCUCCCUUUUCUCCCAGAGUUGACAGUCCAUGCCCCGACCCCCUAUCCCCCAUGUAGGAGGAACUGAGUAAGUGAGAUGAAAAAGGCGAAGAACAGCAAGAAGGGCUGAGUUCCCACAAGCUGCCCUGGGUGAACCCAGUAGCCCUGCAUAGCAUUCCUAAAGCGCUUCUCCAAUCCUGGACUCAGAAUCAGAAAGCAACUGAGACAAGAUCUAGACCCAACUCCCACCCAAGGCAGGGCCCCUCUCCUGCCAGGAGAAGAUAGGAGAGAACUUGUCCAUGGCAUGCCCCAGGAGUCAUUGAAACCCAGAAGAGAAAGCCAUGACUUUCCCUUGGCAAAUCCAUUUCCCAUGUUUGGAGCAGGGGUAUGACAAAGAUUCUCCCCUCAACCAACUUUAGACUGGCUUCUCUGAGCCCUCUUUUGACCAGGCCUCAUCUUUGGACUUCUGUGUCUAUCCUUUCAGAGUCCAGUUUUAGCAAGAGUCCUGCUAAGUCGCUUCAGAGAGAAUCCUCCACCCUCGGUAUCCAGUUACUACCAAUAUCUGAUUGGGUUCCUCAUCCUCCACCCUCGCCCAGGUGAUGCCUGAUCGCCCUGGCCUGCUGUCUGCAAGAAUACUCUUGGGUCAUUUUAGCCAGAAUCUGCAUACCUUUAGUGUCUCCUCUUAGUAAUUUCCAUCCACUGACCACCCCCCUCCCUGCUCCUGGCUAUAAAUUCUCACUCAUCCUUGUCGUAUUCAGAGUUGAGCCCCAUCUCUCUCCCCUAUCGCGACAGUCUUGACACCUAUCAGCAUAGUCCCGAAUAAAGUCCUCCCUACUGUUUUAACA
rnacentral:lncRNA from 1 species